CCAGUACAGUGUACCACAUACACACCGGUGACCUGGGUACUCGAUUGAUUUAGACCAAGAAACAUCUGACUGAGAUGUACUUCAUUACCGAUGUCAUUGAAACUAAACUUAUGCACAGGUUGAAGAAAAUAAGAUUUAGUUAUAUUCUAAUGUCAAUGAAAUGUUUCCAUUUGCAAACAAAUCCCUCCCUUACUUCGGUAUCAAAUGUUAUUUGUCUCAUACUUAUUUUAGGUUGGAGAAAAACCAACAAAUUCAUUAUUUUUUUGCAGUUGACUUCAUGUUUGAGUAUCACCAAGAUGUGUUCCCCAUUGUCAUUCGGCAACCACCCCUACCUGUCUACUAUGACAUUGGAACAGGGUGAUGUUCAGCACAUGAAGCCCUACAGAUGCCACCGAUUCAACAAUGCUGAUUAUGAUGGGCGGUCUAUUUAACCUUUGCCUUAUUAGGUCCUCCACAGUCGCCCCAUCAGUCCCUGGCAGUCUGGUCCCUGGAGCAGCUGGCCCUGGCAAAAGUUAUUCCUUCACUGUUGACCCCUGACUGACUGGCCCUCGGCACACAAAUCCCUGGAUCACCCGCCACUGGAUCACCUGCCCCUGAAUCACCUGCCCCUGGCAAUGUGGCCUCUUGAUUGCUCUCUCUGUCUCCUGUGAUGUCCUUUUCAACGCUCUUGAAAUCCACCUAAAUUUCUCCCUCAAUCUCUGUAACAAUUACAAGGUAAUGUUGCUGUUAUAUGUAUUUUGCCUUUGCAUUUGCAACUACUGUCAUCUCCAAUGUAAGAAAAUGAAUUAAAGCAAAACAUUUCUGUAAUGUGAAUUAAAUCAUCUGCCACAAUCAGAAACCAAUACAAUUUAUAAAAUGGAUCUACCGGCAAUUGUUAAUUGGGUAGAAAUGUGUCGAUUAUCUACAUUGUGUGCAAAUCCUCAGAGAAUCCCUGCCUUCUGGUUGUUUUUUAAACUGAAUGUACAAAUAUGAAUUAUGUAAUCUCAUUAGGAGUGUAGUCUAUCCUUGAAUUACAUGAAAUGGGGAAUAUUGUUAGCUGCAUGGAUCAUACCGAAGUUUAAUUUGGCGCAAUAUGUGUGGUCCGUUGCACUUGGUUCCGGAGGCACCCUCACAGAAGGGGGUUUCCUCCUCUUCGGUUUAGGUCGAUGGAUGAAAACUGUUGGGCCUGCAUCGGGCCUCAACUUCAACAUCCUAUCUACUUUUGAGGCUUUGAAUUGGUCAUUUUCAAAGUCCUGGUAGGCUUGUAAGAUCAGUUUCCAUUGCACUUCAAAUAUCAUUGGAAAGUCAUAAUUCUCUACACUUAGAAUUAUUAUGCCCUUUGAAAUGCUAACAAGUGAUCUGAACAUUACGUUACAUCGUUUUUGACUGUUGCUGACUGUCAAUAAGUUUUGACGGCUGACCAUUGCCAUCCAUUUCUCCCUGCGCUCUUGGUCCUUGGGGAAGCCGUGAUAACCCUUCUCGGACCGAUUGGAGCAUCCAAAUGCUGCACAGCCAACCAUGGUAUGACCAUUGAUCUAUAAAAUGUUAGUUGUAACCAAUGAACCAUGACACCAUUGAAGAUCACAGAGCGGGUAACAACUGUUCCUCAACCACUCAUGCCCCG
ensembl:lncRNA